rnacentral:lncRNA from 1 species
GGGAGAUGUUCGGGAGAUCUCCACGCCGGAAUAUAACCUGGAGAGGAAAGUAAACAAAGUGAGAGGGGAUACCCUUGCGGUCCCAAGAUUUGAUCCAAGGAGGAAUAGUGGAGAAACCAGAGUAACGGGUGAUGCUGGUGGUAAAAGGUCUCUGCACGAUGGGGGAAAGAAUGUCACUGACGCCAAACGCCGAAAAUUAAAAGGUCUGUACACUAAUGCGAGGAGCCUAGGUAACAAGAUGGAGGAACUGGAGUUACUGGUGCAGGAAGUGAAACCGGAUAUUAUAGGGAUAACUGAAACCUGGUGGAAUAGUACUCAUGACUGGAGCACGGGUAUUGAAGGCUAUGUGCUGUUUAGAAAAGACAGGAAGAAAGGCAAAGGUGGUGGAGUAGCCUUGUACAUCAAUGAUGAAAUUAACUGUAGCGAAAUAAGAAGCGAUGGAAUGGAUAAGACAGAGUCUGUCUGGGCGAAAAUCACACUGGGUAAAAAAGCAACUAGAGCUUCCCCUGAGAUAGUGCUUGGCGUGUGCUACAGACCGCCGGGAUCUGAUUGGGAUAUGGAUAGAGACCUCUUUAAUGUCUUUAAUGAAGUAAACACAAAGGGGAAAUGUGUGAUUAUGGGGGACUUCAACUUCCCGGAUAUAGACUGGAGGACGAGUACUUGCAAGAAUAAUAGGGGUCAGAUUUUUCUGGAUGUGAUAGCGGAUGGAUUUCUUCAUCAAGUAGUUGAAGUACCUACGAGAGGAGAUGCCAUUUUAGAUUUGGUGUUGGUGAGCAGUGAGGACCUCGUAGAAGAAAUGGUGGUAGGGGACAACCUUGGUUCGAGUGAUCAUGAGCUGAUUCAGUUCAAACUAGAUGGAAGGAUAAACAAAUGUAGAUCUGGGAUUAGGGUUUUCGACUUCUCGAGGGCUAAUUUUAAAGAGUUAAGGAAAUUAGUUAGGGAAGUGGAUUGGACGGAGGAAUUAGUGGAUUUAAAUGCGGAGGAGGCCUGGAAUUACUUUAAGUCGCAGCUGCGGAGACUGUCGG